AUGAACGCUGGCGGCGUGCCUAAUACAUGCCAGUCGAGCGAACAGACGAGGAGCUUGCUCCUUUGACGUUAGCGGCGGACGGGUGAGUAACACGUGGGUAACCUACCUAUAAGACUGGGAUAACUUCGGGAAACCGGAGCUAAUACCGGAUAAUAUUUCGAACCGCAUGGUUCGAUAGUGAAAGAUGGCUCUGCUAUCACUUAUAGAUGGACCUGCGCCGUAUUAGCUAGUUGGUAAGGUAACGGCUUACCAAGGCAACGAUACGUAGCCGACCUGAGAGGGUGAUCGGCCACACUGGAACUGAGACACGGUCCAGACUCCUACGGGAGGCAGCAGUAGGGAAUCUUCCGCAAUGGGCGAAAGCCUGACGGAGCAACGCCGCGUGAGUGAUGAAGGUCUUCGGAUCGUAAAACUCUGUUAUUAGGGAAGAACAAACGUGUAAGUAACUGUGCACGUCUUGACGGUACCUAAUCAGAAAGCCACGGCUAACUACGUG
rnacentral:rRNA from 1 species